rnacentral:rRNA from 1 species
UACGUAGGGUGCAAGCGUUGUCCGGAAUUAUUGGGCGUAAAGAGCUCGUAGGCGGUCUGUCGCGUCUGCUGUGAAAACUCAGGGCUUAACCCUGAGCUUGCAGUGGGUACGGGGCAGACUAGAGUGCGGUAGGGGGAGACUGGAAUUCCUGGUGUGGCGGUGAAAUGCGCAGAUAUCAGGAGGAACACCGGUGGCGAAGGCGGGUCGCGUGGGCCGUAACUGACGCUGAGGAGCGAAAGCAUGGGGGAGCGAACAGG